AAUUUAAAUUUACUAUGUUACAGGUAAAAUAAUGGAAAAUAUAAGCUUGCACAUGAAAAUGAAACUUGAUUUUUGUCUAAAAAAAGUGUUCCAAAUUGAUAAACAAAUCACACUAAGUCUUAUAUAUGAUUUAUAUGAUCUAUAUGAUUUAUAAAAAGAGAACUCAAAACAUAAACUUAAAGCAAUACACUUACUCAAAGACAUUGUUGAAUUUAACAAGCCUAUAUUUGUGUAAUUUUCAGUGUAUUAUGGAUAUUUCAAAAAUCUUAUGUUUGAUUUCCUUUAUAAAAAACAAAGAAAAUAUAUUUGUUGAAUAUUAUAUAUUAUAGUAUAGUUCAUAAAAUAUUAAACAACGUCAAACUGCUUUAUAGUUUCAGGUAAAUAAAAUAUUAUUUAUUUAUCAUGUAAUAAUGUCAUCAUAUUAUUAGCAAAUAUUUUUAUUUUUUUUAGAUUCCCUGAUAUUUUAAUUAGAAGAUAGAACAAGUGAUUUUUACAAAGAUGUGACAAACUAGGACGGUUUUCUUGACAAAUAAGAUAUAUCAAACUUUUCUGUUGAUUAUCUAUGCUUUAAUAUUAUCUGUAAUAAGAAACCUGGACAGUGAUGAAGCAGGAUCAAAAUCUGUUUGAGAGCAUAUAGCUUUGAGGAAAAUAUCAUACAGCUUAGUGGAAACAGAAGUAAUAAAGGCCCAUCCAACUCCAAAAAUCAUUAAUUAUUUUAUUACCAUAAUAAAUAGAAUACAAGUUAUAAUUAUCUUGUCACAUGCUUAAGCUAUUGCCAAAUAUACUCGAAGAUAAAAAAAAAAGUACUCAUUAAUAGUGAUGGACAAUUUAUUAUUAAGUAGGAUAACAUAAUGCCAUUACGCAAGAUGCAGGAAAGUAGAGGAUCGUAUGCAACAAAUAAACUUAAAAAUCCAAUAUUAAUACUAUAGAAAUUAAAUGAAUGUUCAUUUGACAGCUAAACCAUAAGUUCAAAUGUGAAUUUCAGGAAAAGCUAGAGUUAAUGAAAAAUGUUUAACCGACUGCAGAAUUUUGUCAAUACACAAAUAAUUUUGAUUUAUUAAACUGUUGAAAUAAAUUUUGCAAAAGAGAUUAUGAUUUUACCAUAAAUGAAGAAACUGUUCUAAAGGUUUAAAAAAUUCCUUGACAAAUUAAAAUCAGAAGGAAAACUGAUAUUAAAAAGCCAAAGAAAAACUGAGUUUUUAGAUCUCAUCAUAUAUCUUAAUUACUAAUACAAUACAUUUUAUUUGAAGUUUUAAUAAAAGAAAAAUGGAAUUUGUCUCACUUAUAAGUAGACUUAGGAACUUCUAGCAAUUGCAUAUUUUUUCUGAAUUAUGUAAAAAGUAGCAGUGAAAUAUAAAUCUUGUUCAUGUUAUAUAGAAUCUAAAUCCAAAAUUUAAUUGGAAUAAUUAAUUAAAAUCAUUUUUUUUUUUUCUUAUAAGAUCAUCUAUUAGCAGAAUGCAGCUUUUAAGUGCUAUAACAAGCCAUUUAUGAAGACAUCAAUUUAUAAAGAUGAUUUCUCAAUCAUGCCUAUUGCCGAUAAGGCCUGGUUUUACCACCGAUUAGAUAAAUGGUAAAUGAGACCAAUUGUAUAGUUUGUAUAAACAACGUUCCAUUAUUUUAUAAAAUUGCUGUGUUAGUCAACCACUGUCUAUCGUCAUUAUUUGUGUUGUUAAAAUACCAAAGGUACAACAAUCGACAAGUAGCUGUUAACAAAUUUUUGUUACCGAUUUUAAAGACGUGUUUUCAUCUGACGGACAUGUUUUACUGUAUGUAAACUCUAUGAAAUAAAAGUGAAAAGUGACAAGCGAUUUAAUAUUAAACAACAUCUAAACACUGGAAAACAUUACAGUAGUACGGCGGAAUGAAAAUAAAAAUAACAAGGUAACAACAAUUAGUUACAAAUACAAACUAGGGGAAAAAGAAUUUUUUUAAUCAAAAUUUAUGUAGAGCUUUGCUUUCAUCAAAUAUUCUCUAAUUAAGUUGUCGAAUAACAAGUUCAAAAUGUUUUUAGAAAAAUAUUAUGCUCCAUUGUAUUGUUGUGAACACUGCGGAAAUUCGAUCAGUUGUGAAAACAUUUGACGAAAAUGGCACUGUAUCAAUUCGUAUAGCAAAAAAAAUAUUUAGUAAAUAACAAUCUACCAUAUAACUUAGCAUUUAUAAAAUCUAACUUUGGAUUUUUACCGGAGUCCAUAACAUUUUUGGAAAAAUAUGUAAUCACUAUCUGAUUCAUCUAGUGUUAUAGAAAAUACACAAAAUAAAUUAAGUGAGUUAAAAUGUUUAAAAGGUAAAACACUCGCAAUAAAGUUCAAUGAUGUUUUAAACAAAAAUUCCGGUUUAAGAAUUGUAUCAAACAUUUCUAAAAUUUUAAAAGGCGAAGUUGAUGACAUAGAUGAAAUACCUGAAGAUCUAACAAAUGAUGAUCUAGUAUUCUUUAAGUAUGUGCCACUUUCUUCCGUCUAUGUGGAACAAAGCUUUUUAAAAUAUAAAAAUAUAAAAUAAAGUUUUUGUAUUUCAGACCCAUAAUCAAGCAUUGAGUUUGAUCAAUAAACUCAAUCAAAUCAAUCAAUUGAAACACAUUUUUUUUAUGCAAAUAUCAUUAAUUCAUUAACAAAUAUUAACAAUUAGCGAGCUAAAGAACAGAUGUAGAUGCCACUCAGUGAAAGAAAUACAAAUUCCAACUGGCCAAUAGUAGAAAAUUUGACAAUUUUUUAAAUUGAAAAUGAAGACAGAUUAUUUGUACCCAGGUAUUAGGUGAUAAUAAAUAUAACAUCAUCGAUAAUAAUUUGGUAUUAGAUCUACCAGUUGGCGCGACGUGGUGUAGCGAUAAGUUCCGUUUAAUGUUGUUGGAUUAUUGUAUCUCAUACAGUACUACAGUAUUUCGUUUAUAUCUGUACAUUGUCACGCGUUAUGUGUAUUCAAAGAAAAAUAAAUGUUUUCAAUUAUUAAAAUAGACAAACCCAUGUUGACUUUAAAAUGUAUGAUUUUAAUUUAAAUUUAUUUUUCGGAUUGAAAUACAUAGAUAAUUUAGAUCUUUAUUAAUUGAGUUAUUAAGUAGUUGUUUUCAAAAGUUAUUGUUAUUAAUUUAUUAAUUUUACUUAAAUAAAACAACACAUAUUUUUAGAGCAUCCUAGAGAUUUGAUUUUUUUUAGAUUCUGAGUGAAGUGAUAAAUAUAUUAUUUUCUAUCAGAAAGCUUACUCUAAUGUAUACUAUGUAGACACUUUUCUAAAUGAAAAUUUUCUUGUGGUGGUACCUUAAGGAGAUAAUUUUUUGAAUUCUCAAGAGUUUUCUCAACAAAUGGGAAAAAAAGGAAAAUGUACAAAAUGUAAGUAUUAGUUGAUAAAUAUUUUAAGUCUAUAUGUUAAAAAAAAAUUUGAGUAUAAUAUAUUAUUUUUUUUAGGAAUUUUAAUUUCAAAUUUUGAUGAAUACUGUUUGAGUAAAAAAUUCUGUGGAACAGAUCUAAUUUUUCAAUUUUAGAUUCUGAGUGUAGCGAAGAAUUAUUGGUUUUACAAAGAUGUUCAUUUUUUAUUAUUUAUAUGAACACUACCAGUGAGUUUACUCUAAUAUAUGUGAUGUAGACUCGUUAAUCUGGACUUAAAUCUCAACUAAUGUCACAUCAUGUCUUUUUCCAGGAAACAUUCACCUAUUCUUCAUUCAUUUUCCCUGGGCUAUUCUUCUCCCAAUCAUGAUGAUAGGAUCAAAAAUCUUGGUUUUUAUUUGUCAACACUCUCCUUCAGGCACCAUAUAAAUGUUACUGUUGGGCGUGCUCUAAAGAUCUUUGGUUUCAUAAAAUACAAUUCUUCUCUUUUCUCCUCUGCCUCCUGUCUUCGUUCUUUAUAUUGCUGCCUGGUGCAGUCGAUCCUGAAGUAAGGGAUCACCAUUUGGGCCACCCCUACCUGGGGUGUGACCAGCUGCGCAUCGAAUGAGUCCAGAACCGUUAUUUUUCGUUUGCAGCCCAUCAACUGAAGAUUGCUCACCUACCACAUGACUAGGACUGCGUCCACUCCUUUCUCAGUCUCCCUACUCUUCCUCUCACCUAUUCAAUGCUGACCUUAUUUUUAUCUUCUCUCUUCUUGAUGGUACUGUCAAUGCUCCUGACUUACAAGAAAAUGUCUCUUUCCGCGUACCCUCACACUACACUCGAUAUCACUACCUCUUCUCUAUUACUGUACACCUCACGUUUUAUAGCCAAAAUCAACCUCUCCAUAAGAUGUUGCAUCAUUUCAAUCAUACUAAGACCUGACCUCUUCUUAUCACUGUAAUUUAACUGUUUGUAAUAAUUAUUGUUCUCUUACCAUUGCCCUCGGGGAAUUCACAUGUUUAAAUAAAUAAAUAAUCAUAAUCAGAAGUUAAAUAAGGGUAUUUUUUGAUUAUUAUUAUUAUUAAUGGUUGUUAUAAGUAUGCUGAUUAUUAUUAUUAUUAAAAUGCACAUUAUUAUUAUUAUUUAAGUGAUCAUUAUAUUUAUUACUAACUAUUAUGCUGAUUAUUGUUAUGAUUUUUAAAGUACU